GGAGUAUAUAUACCUGUGGAAUGUCCAGGGUGGACAGCCCAAAAACCACACAACACCCCAGUGAUUCCGCCUGUGAAAGCCUUUGACAAUACAAUAUUUAUUGUGACAUUUUUUCAUAUGAUAGCUUAUACUACAAUGACUCUGCUAGUCCCUAACAUACCAUCAGGAUUCUCCUCCUCACCGUGGAGUAUAAAACAGUUGAUCUGUACAGCAUUUGCUUUAUCUUUGUAAGUGGCUUCCUGCUUGCAAGCUUUAAAACAACUUUUCCAAAAUAAACAACACAAAUAUGUUUUAAAGUACCAUUCA